rnacentral:rRNA from 1 species
GAGUUUGAUCAUGGCUCAGAUUGAACGCUGGCGGCAUGCUUUACACAUGCAAGUCGAGCGGCAGCGCGGGGGCAACCCUGGCGGCGAGCGGCGAACGGGUGAGUAAUGCAUCGGAACGUAUCCCGUAGUGGGGGACAACGCCGGGAAACCGGCGCUAAUACCGCAUAUGCUCUACGGAGGAAAGUGGGGGACCCGCAAGGGCCUCACGCUAUGGGAGCGGCCGAUGUCCGAUUAGCUUGUUGGUGAGGUAACGGCUUACCAAGGCGACGAUCGGUAGCUGGUCUGAGAGGAUGAUCAGCCACACUGGGACUGAGACACGGCCCAGACUCCUACGGGAGGCAGCAGUGGGGAAUUUUGGACAAUGGGGGCAACCCUGAUCCAGCCAUGCCGCGUGCGGGAAGAAGGCCUUCGGUUGUAACCG